rnacentral:snRNA from 1 species
ACUUUUGCGCAGUGGCAGUAUCGUAGCCAAUGAGGUUUAUCCGAGGCACGAUUAUUGCUAAUUGAAAACAAAAUUCACACACUAGUAGUGGGAGAUUUCAACACCCCACUCUCACCAAUGGACAGGUUUGCCAAAC